rnacentral:rRNA from 1 species
UACGUAGGGAGCAAGCGUUUGUCCGGAAUCAUUGGGCGUAAAGAGCGCGUAGGUGGCUUUAUAAGUCCGUUGUGAAAGUCAAAGGCUCAACCUUUGAAAGCCGAUGGAUACUGUGAAGCUAGAGUCCGGAAGAGGAGAGUGGAAUUCCUGGUGUAGCGGUGAAAUGCGUAGAUAAUCAAGAGGAACACCUGCGGCGAAGGCGGGUUGCUGGGCCGACACUGACGCUGAUGCGCGAAAGCGUGGGGAGCAAACAGG